UAAAAUAGACAAUAAUAUUGAGAUGGAUGGUUAAAGUAGCAUUGCCUUAUGCAUAAUCUCAAAGUAUUAUUAUAAUCAAGUCUUAUAAUGAAGAUGAUGUUCAUAAGAGCAUCAAGCAUAUCGUUUGGGCGAGUACACAAGAUGGAAACAAGAAGCUUGAUGUUGCAUACCGUGAGGCUCAGCAGAAAUCUGAAACAUGCCCUGUUUUCCUUUUUUUCUCGGUUAAUUCAAGCGGAAAAUUUGUGGGGGUAGCAGAGAUGGUGGGGUUGUGUAGUGGAGGGUUGUGGUCGCCGGCAAGGUGGCCGGGAAAACUGGUCGGAGAAAAUAUGGGUGGAGCUGCUCAUUUUUGGGAGAAACAAUAAGUGGGCCCCACACACACAUAUAUAUCUAAUAAUUAUUAUUUAAUUUAAUGUGUUUUAUCAUUAAGGGCAAUUUAGUCAUUUAAUAAAGAUUCAACUGAGUAAACUAACAUUCAUCCACUUUAGGGACUACUCGAGUAACAAGUGAGCAAACCAUAGGGAGCAAACAUGCUAUUUUGGAAAGAUGGAGACUAAACGUGAAAAAAUGACAAACCACAGAGAUUAGCCGGGCAAUUAACUCUUACUUACAUGUGAUUAGAAUUGUAAUUUGAUAUCUAUACGACAUUUAAACGUUGAUUGCCAUGCUAAUGAACUUAUAUUGUAUUUCGUUGAAAUUAAGAACGUACUUUGUGUUGUUAAACUUGAUUUUGGUUUGUAAUGUAUUAGGCUGAGAUUAUUUUGGAUAUAUUCUUUUAAAUUA